rnacentral:miRNA from 1 species
GCAGACACGUUCCAGCCAAUCAGCAGCAGACCCUCCCUCCCAGACCCUCCCACCUCCUGGACAGCAUCCAUUUUACAUUCAUUGUGAAGCUGCAUUCUUAGUGAGCUGUCCAGGAGGUGGGAGGGUCUGGGAGGGAGGGUCUGCUGCUGAUUGACUGGAAUGUGUCUG